rnacentral:sRNA from 1 species
AAAUACCGAAUGCUACGCCGGUACGUGC